rnacentral:lncRNA from 1 species
CUGAUGCUCCCCACAGGGCUCUGGGGAGACAGACCUUCAUUACCCUGGUUGGCCUCCAGCACUCCAUGCUUACCUGCCUUGCUCAGCCCCACCUAAUGGGCUUUUGAACUGAAUUAGUCAAGAAGGAAAGGAAAACAUUUGUUAUUGGCAGCAAUAAUAAUGCAAAGUGAAACUACCUUUUGAAAUUUUUUUCUAGACCUUCCAACUGUACUUUUAGUGACCUUUUUGUUCUUAGGGUUUUCAUAUUCCUUAAUAUGUUUUUCCUGUAUUGUUUGCCUUAUUAUCUCAAAUUAUAUUUACCCAUCAGUUUCUGUUUUAUUAUUAUAGUUUCCCCUGCAAUGUUAAUACAUGUCAGAGGCAGAGGCCUGUAUUUUUAAACUUUAGUUUAUAGCAGUGUUUUUGUUCGAUGCCAUGCAUCAUUGGAUCUCAUUGCUUGUCCUGUGGUAGAACUAAUGUGUAUAAAAUUAUGCUAGCUUUUUCCGAGUAGUCACACUGAUAUUUUCAAAUCGUCAUUUUUACCAGGUGCUAGAAUGCUCUUUGUUUAAUUUAUUAAGAGAAGGGCACUCCAUGUUGAUAUCUUCUG